rfam:Canis lupus familiaris chromosome 8, whole genome shotgun sequence.
GCCUGGGUGGCUCAUUGGGUUAAGCAUCUGACUCUUGGUGUCAGCUCAGGUCAUGAUCUCAGGGUUGUGGGAUCAAGCCCCACCUUGGGCU